rnacentral:misc_RNA from 1 species
UUAAGUUCAGCGGGUAAUCCCACCCGAUUUGAGGUCAAAUUGUCAGAGUUUGUCUAAAAGACGGUUGGCAGCACAACAUUCACCUGAGAGCGCGCCUCCAAAGAAGCUUACCAGUGAAGAUACCUAUCACACUGUAUACGCCGACGAGCGGGUCACACUGAGACAUUCCAGACGAGCCGAACACGGCAACGUCCAAGUCC